GGGGGGAGCAAGCGUUGUUCGGAUUUACUGGGCGUAAAGGGCGCGUAGGCGGCCUCCGCAAGUCAGUUGUGAAAUCUCCGAGCUUAACUCGGAAGGGUCAACUGAUACUGCGGGGCUAGAGUGCGGAAGGGGCAACUGGAAUUCUUGGUGUAGCGGUGAAAUGCGUAGAUAUCAAGAGGAACACCUGCGGCGAAGGCGGGUUGCUGGGCCGACACUGACGCUGAGGCGCGAAAGCUAGGGGAGCGAACGGGAUUAGAUACCCCGGUAGUCCUAGCCUUAAACGAUGAAUGCUUGGUGUCUGGGGUUAUAUAGUCCCCGGGUGCCGUCGCUAACGCUUUAAGCAUUCCGCCUGGGGAGUACGGUCGCAAGACUG
rnacentral:rRNA from 1 species